GUGUCAGCAGCCGCGGUAAUACGGAGGGAGCUAGCGUUGUUCGGAAUCACUGGGCGUAAAGCGUACGUAGGCGGUUAUUCAAGUCAGAGGUGAAAGCCUGGAGCUCAACUCCAGAACUGCCUUUGAAACUAGAUAGCUAGAAUCACGGAGAGGUAAGUGGAAUUCCGAGUGUAGAGGUGAAAUUCGUAGAUAUUCGGAAGAACACCAGUGGCGAAGGCGGCUUACUGGACGUGUAUUGACGCUGAGGUACGAAAGCGUGGGGAGCAAACAGGAUUAGAUACCCUGGUAGUCC
rnacentral:rRNA from 1 species